CCAGACUCCUACGGGAGGCAGCAGUGAGGAAUAUUGGUCAAUGGGCGGGAGCCUGAACCAGCCAAGCCGCGUGAAGGAAGAAGGCGCCAGGCGUCGUAAACUUCUUUUGUCGGGGAACAAAGGGCGCCACGCGUGGCGUUGUGAGUGUACCCGAAGAAAAAGCAUCGGCUAACUCCGUGCCAGCAGCCGCGGUAAUACGGAGGAUGCGAGCGUUAUCCGGAUUUAUUGGGUUUAAAGGGUGCGUAGGCGGAACAUUAAGUCAGCGGUAAAAUCGAGGGGCUCAACCCCUUUAAGCCGUUGAAACUGGUGAUCUUGAGUGGGCGAGAAGUAUGCGGAAUGCGUGGUGUAGCGGUGAAAUGCAUAGAUAUCACGCAGAACUCCGAUUGCGAAGGCAGCAUACCGGCGCCCGACUGACGCUGAGGCACGAAAGCGUGGGGAUCGAACAGGAUUAGAUACCCGUGUA
rnacentral:rRNA from 1 species